AGAUCACCUCUCUUGGUGUUUUCUGGUGAGCUCAGCCAAAGGUCACAGACUCGCAGAAUUGCAGAGGUUGGGAGGGAGCUCUGGAAACCAUCUAGUCCAUGACUGUCCAAUCUUUUGGCUUGCCUGGGCUGCACUGAAUGAAGAGGAAUCAUCUUGGACUACAUAGGAUGCAGUAAAGCCUCCUGUUUAUUUCCUUGGUUUCUACAACCCAUACAAAGAGCACAAUAGCACUAUUUGAUAGAGCAUAUUCUCAGCAAGUGAGGAAUUCAGUGACACACCUUUACUUCAGAUGCACUUUCAUGUCAGACCCAUUUCUUGGACUGCCCCUCUGCUGUCAUCACAGCAAUACAACAUAAUGGAACAUUGGCAGGAAGGUUCAACCUUUACUUCCACAAUACCAGCAUCUGCCUCUGAUGUCGUGGGCCAACAUAAUAAAAUAGGAGAUAUUACACUCAGAGCAGCCCUUGUAAAUUAUAUAAUAUUGUGCAUGUAUAUAAGUAACAAAACUUAUUUUAUUCUUUAAUAUUUUUAUUAAAAUAUAAAACUGAGAACAACAAAGACCUAAAAAUACUGGAGAACAACUGGUGUUUCUGUACAACUAAUGUAUCAAACUCGCUCAGUACCAGAGUAUGCAAUUCUUACUGGGCUCUCAAGGUGCACAUCAGAGAUUUUUGAUGAAACUUUACUAUUCCUGUACUUCAUCCUUGAAAAUAGUUCUUCACAAGUUUGUACUGCCGGAAAGUGAUAACAUGAAUAAGGCAUGAUGGUGAAAUGAGGGAUAUUUUUCCAUGGCAAAAGAUGUCUAAUAAAAGUCAGGUAAAGAGACAUGAUCAAGUUUUUGAGUUGAAUGCCUGAUUGCAACUCUAUGCAUUCCAUUUGAGAAUGU